rnacentral:rRNA from 1 species
UACGAAGGGGGCUAGCGUUGUUCGGAAUUACUGGGCGUAAAGCGCACGUAGGCGGACAUUUAAGUCAGGGGUGAAAUCCCAGGGCUCAACCCUGGAACUGCCUUUGAUACUGGGUGUCUUGAGUACGAGAGAGGUGAGUGGAAUUCCGAGUGUAGAGGUGAAAUUCGUAGAUAUUCGGAAGAACACCAGUGGCGAAGGCGGCUCACUGGCUCGUAACUGACGCUGAGGUGCGAAAGCGUGGGGAGCAAACAGGAUUAGAUA